rnacentral:rRNA from 1 species
GGACUACCAGGGUAUCUAAUCCGUUUUGCUCCCCACGCUUUCGUGCCUCAACGUCAGUAACAGAAUAGUUAACUGCCUUCGCCGUUAUUGGUGUUCUCCCAUAUAUCUCUGCAUUUUACCGCUCCACAUGGAAUUCCGUUAACCUCUCCUGUACUCUAGCAAAAUAGUAUUACCAACUUCCACGAGGUUAGGCCUCGCUUUCACUGCUAACUUGUUCCGCCAUCUACGCACCCUUUACGCCCAAUAAUUCCGGAUAACGUUCGCCACCUACGUCUUACCGCGGCUGCUGGCAC